AAAAAAAAACUAGAGAGAAAAUAAAGAAAAAAAAAACAAAUAGAAAAAAAAAUAUAUAUAUAUAUAGUAGCUAUAAAUAAAGUGUUCUGUUUAAAUCUGAGAAGGUGUUAUUUUCUGUGCAGGAAGGUCAUGGAAAGGUUACAAUGGAGUUCUAGUCUGGGCAGAGGAAUUAAGUUUGGGGUGGAGAGUUGUUGCCCAGUUGCUAUAGCAACCAGUCAGCAACACUGGGCAGCAAGCAUUUAGGCUGGGUCCAAAAAGAAAUUGACGUUGUUUUCGUAUCGGGGUUUUACAAAAGGUUGAUUGGUCGAUUGGUGGGGCAUUUCCCAGUUGUUACAGCAUUCAUUUAGCAUUCUGGGCAGCAAUCACAAGAGGACUCCGAGAAAGGAAGCUUGCAAAAUCUGUGAAAGGGAACUUUGGAAUCAAAAAGGGAGCAACGAAUUCUGAAAGGGGCUUGUUGCUGCUUCAAUGCUGUAGCAUCACCGUAGCAUCGGGCAGAGCCAGGAAGGAAGCGUGACAACUGCGAGCUGGACUUAAUGAGGCAUAAGUGGCGCUGAGAUGGCAAGAGUAUUGUACAAUUAAGUCAGCUGGGUCAUGUGGCACGUGGAGGACAAGGUGGGAAUUGACUUUCCUAUUAGGGUAAAGCAAAGUACCCUAAAGAAAGGGGGUACCAGCCGAAAUAGGGAGCAGCCCCCAUUCUUGGAGACAGCUGAUUUUCUUAGACCAUUUUUGAGAGAAAACAGAAGAAAAGAAAAAAAAAACAGAGAGAGUACAGAGGAGGAAGAGGACCACGAGCUGACAACGAGGGGGAUUGAGCACAGCAAUUCCUUCUAACUUCUUCUUCUCCCUUCUUCAUUUUGUAUUGUAUUUUCUCUCUAUCUAAUUUGUGAACAAACUCCAUGGAUUUGCUAAUGGCUACUGGUUUUGUAUUUUUAUUAUUAAACAUGAACUAAUCUUUAGAGGUUUGGGUGGUUAUGAACCCUUAUGUAUGAACUAAAUUUCUAAAAUGCAUGGUUAAGUUGU